GACGAACGCUUGCGGCGUGCUUAACACAUGCAAGUCGAACGGAAAGGCCCUGCUUUUGUGGGGUGCUCGAGUGGCGAACGGGUGAGUAACACGUGAGUAACCUGCCCUUGACUUUGGGAUAACUUCAGGAAACUGGGGCUAAUACCGGAUAGGAGCUCCUGCUGCAUGGUGGGGGUUGGAAAGUUUCGGCGGUUGGGGAUGGACUCGCGGCUUAUCAGCUUGUUGGUGGGGUAGUGGCUUACCAAGGCUUUGACGGGUAGCCGGCCUGAGAGGGUGACCGGCCACAUUGGGACUGAGAUACGGCCCAGACUCCUACGGGAGGCAGCAGUGGGGAAUAUUGCACAAUGGGCGGAAGCCUGAUGCAGCAACGCCGCGUGCGGGAUGACGGCCUUCGGGUUGUAAACCGCUUUCGCCUGUGACGAAGCGUGAGUGACGGUAAUGGGUAAAGAAGCACCGGCUAACUACGUGCCAGCAGCCGCGGUGAUACGUAGGGUGCGAGCGUUGUCCGGAUUUAUUGGGCGUAAGGGGCUCGUAGGUGGUUGAUCGCGUCGGAAGUGUAAUCUUGGGGCUUAACCCUGAGCGUGCUUUCGAUACGGGUUGACUUGAGGAAGGUAGGGGAGAAUGGAAUUUCCUGGUGGAGCGGUGGAAUGCGCAGAUAUCAGGAGGAACACCAGUGGCGAAGGCGGUUCUCUGGGCCUUUCCUGACGCUGAGGAGCGAAAGCGUGGGGAGCGAACAGGCUUAGAUACCCUGGUAGUCCACGCUGUAAACGGUGGGUACUAGGUGUGGGGUCCAUUCCACGGGUUCCGUGCCGUAGCUAACGCUUUAAGUACCCCGCCUGGGGAGUACGGCCGCAAGGCUAAAACUCAAAGGAAUUGACGGGGCCCCGCACAAGCGGCGGAGCAUGCGGAUUAAUUCGAUGCAACGCGUAGAACCUUACCUGGGUUUGACAUGGAUCGGGAGUGCUCAGAGAUGGGUGUGCCUCUUUUGGGGUCGGUUCACAGGUGGUGCAUGCCUGUCGUCAGCUCGUGUCGUGAGAUGUUGGGUUAAGUCCCGCAACGAGCGCAACCCUUGUUCACUGUUGCCAGCACGUUAUGGUGGGGACUCAGUGGAGACCGCCGGGGUCAACUCGGAGGAAGGUGGGGAUGACGUCAAGUCAUCAUGCCCCUUAUGUCCAGGGCUUCACGCAUGCUACAAUGGCUGGUACAGAGAGUGGCGAGCCUGUGAGGGUGAGCGAAUCUCGGAAAGCCGGUCUCAGUUCGGAUUGGGGUCUGCAACUCGACCUCAUGAAGUCGGAGUCGCUAGUAAUCGCAGAUCAGCAACGCUGCGGUGAAUACGUUCCCGGG
rnacentral:rRNA from 1 species